rnacentral:rRNA from 1 species
UACGUAGGGUGCAAGCGUUGUCCGGAAUUAUUGGGCGUAAAGAGCUCGUAGGCGGUUCGUCGCGUCGGCUGUGAAAUCCCGGAGCUCAACUCCGGGUCUGCAGUCGAUACGGGCGGACUCGAGUUCGGCAGGGGAGACUGGAAUUCCUGGUGUAGCGGUGAAAUGCGCAGAUAUCAGGAGGAACACCAAUGGCGAAGGCAGCUCGCUGGGACGGUACUGACGCUGAGACGCGAAAGCGUGGGGAGCAAACAGG